rnacentral:rRNA from 1 species
GACGAACGCUGGCGGCGUGCCUAAUACAUGCAAGUCGAACGCUUCUUUCCUCCCGAGUGCUUGCACUCCAUUGGAAAGAGGAGUGGCGGACGGGUGAGUAACACGUGGGUAACCUACCCAUCAGAGGGGGAUAACACUUGGAAACAGGUGCUAAUACCGCAUAACAGUUUAUGCCGCAUGGCCUAAGAGUGAAAGGCGCUUUCGGGUGUCGCUGAUGGAGGGACCCGAGGUGGAUUAGCUAGUUGGUGAGGUAACGGCUCACCAAGGCCACGAUGCAUAGCCGACCUGAGAGGGUGAUCGGCCACACUGGGACUGAGACACGGCCCAGACUCCUACGGGAGGCAGCAGUAGGGAAUCUUCGGCAAUGGACGAAAGUCUGACCGAGCAACGCCGCGUGAGUGAAGAAGGUUUUCGGAUCGUAAAACUCUGUUGUUAGAGAAGAACAAGGACGUUAGUAACUGAACGUCCCCUGACGGUAUCUAACCAGAAAGCCACGGCUAACUACGUG